GAUGAACGCUGGCGGCGUGCCUAAUACAUGCAAGUCGAGCGAACGGACGAGAAGCUUGCUUCUCUGAUGUUAGCGGCGGACGGGUGAGUAACACGUGGAUAACCUACCUAUAAGACUGGGAUAACUUCGGGAAACCGGAGCUAAUACCGGAUAAUAUUUUGAACCGCAUGGUUCAAAAGUGAAAGACGGUCUUGCUGUCACUUAUAGAUGGAUCCGCGCUGCAUUAGCUAGUUGGUAAGGUAACGGCUUACCAAGGCAACGAUGCAUAGCCGACCUGAGAGGGUGAUCGGCCACACUGGAACUGAGACACGGUCCAGACUCCUACGGGAGGCAGCAGUAGGGAAUCUUCCGCAAUGGGCGAAAGCCUGACGGAGCAACGCCGCGUGAGUGAUGAAGGUCUUCGGAUCGUAAAACUCUGUUAUUAGGGAAGAACAUAUGUGUAAGUAACUGUGCACAUCUUGACGGUACCUAAUCAGAAAGCCACGGCUAACUACGUGCCAGCAGCCGCGGUAAUACGUAGGUGGCAAGCGUUAUCCGGAAUUAUUGGGCGUAAAGCGCGCGUAGGCGGUUUUUUAAGUCUGAUGUGAAAGCCCACGGCUCAACCGUGGAGGGUCAUUGGAAACUGGAAAACUUGAGUGCAGAAGAGGAAAGUGGAAUUCCAUGUGUAGCGGUGAAAUGCGCAGAGAUAUGGAGGAACACCAGUGGCGAAGGCGACUUUCUGGUCUGUAACUGACGCUGAUGUGCGAAAGCGUGGGGAUCAAACAGGAUUAGAUACCCUGGUAGUCCACGCCGUAAACGAUGAGUGCUAAGUGUUAGGGGGUUUCCGCCCCUUAGUGCUGCAGCUAACGCAUUAAGCACUCCGCCUGGGGAGUACGACCGCAAGGUUGAAACUCAAAGGAAUUGACGGGGACCCGCACAAGCGGUGGAGCAUGUGGUUUAAUUCGAAGCAACGCGAAGAACCUUACCAAAUCUUGACAUCCUUUGACAACUCUAGAGAUAGAGCUUUCCCCUUCGGGGGACAAAGUGACAGGUGGUGCAUGGUUGUCGUCAGCUCGUGUCGUGAGAUGUUGGGUUAAGUCCCGCAACGAGCGCAACCCUUAAGCUUAGUUGCCAUCAUUAAGUUGGGCACUCUAAGUUGACUGCCGGUGACAAACCGGAGGAAGGUGGGGAUGACGUCAAAUCAUCAUGCCCCUUAUGAUUUGGGCUACACACGUGCUACAAUGGACAAUACAAAGGGCAGCGAAACCGCGAGGUCAAGCAAAUCCCAUAAAGUUGUUCUCAGUUCGAAUUGUAGUCUGCAACUCGACUACAUGAAGCUGGAAUCGCUAGUAAUCGUAGAUCAGCAUGCUACGGUGAAUACGUUCCCGGGUCU
rnacentral:rRNA from 1 species